CAGCGCCGCGGGAAUACGUAGGGCGCAAGCGUUAUCCGGAAUUAUUGGGCGUAAAGAGCUCGUAGGCGGUUUGUCGCGUCUGCCGUGAAAGUCCGGGGCUCAACCCCGGAUCUGCGGUGGGUACGGGCAGACUAGAGUGAUGUAGGGGAGACUGGAAUUCCUGGUGUAGCGGUGAAAUGCGCAGAUAUCAGGAGGAACACCGAUGGCGAAGGCAGGUCUCUGGGCAUUAACUGACGCUGAGGAGCGAAAGCAUGGGGAGCGAACAGGAUUAGAUACCCCUGUAGUCCCUGUCUCUUAUACC
rnacentral:rRNA from 1 species